rnacentral:rRNA from 1 species
AUUGAACGCUGGCGGCAUGCUUUACACAUGCAAGUCGAACGGUAACAGGGUGCUUGCACCGCUGACGAGUGGCGAACGGGUAAGUAAUGCGUCGGAACGUGCCGAGUAGUGGGGGAUAACGCAGCGAAAGUUGUGCUAAUACCGCAUACGUACUGAGGUAGAAAGUGGGGGACCUUCGGGCCUCACGCUAUUCGAGCGGCCGACGUCUGAUUAGCUAGUAGGUGAGGUACAGGCUCACCUAGGCGACGAUCAGUAGCGGGUCUGAGAGGAUGAUCCGCCACACUGGGACUGAGACACGGCCCAGACUCCUACAGGAGGCAGCAGUGGGGAAUUUUGGACAAUGGGCGAAAGCCUGAUCCAGCCAUGCCGCGUGUCUGAAGAAGGCCUUCGGGUUGUAAAGGACUUUUGUCAGGGAGGAAAUCCCUAGUGCUAAUAACACUGGGGGAUGACAGUACCUGGAGAAUAAGCACCGGCUAACUACGUGCCAGCCGCCGCUGUAAAAC